UACGUAGGGGGGCUAGCGUUGUCCGGAAUCAUUGGGCGUAAAGAGCGUGUAGGCGGCCCGGUAAGUCCGCUGUGAAAGUCGGGGGCUCAACCCUCGGAUGCCGGUGGAUACUGUCGGGCUCGAGUACGGAAGAGGCGAGUGGAAUUCCUGGUGUAGCGGUGAAAUGCGCAGAUAUCAGGAGGAACACCGGUGGCGAAGGCGGCGACCUGGGUAGAUACUGACGCUGAGGUGCGAAAGCGUGGGGGAGCAAACAGG
rnacentral:rRNA from 1 species